AGAGUUUGAUCCUGGCUCAGAACGAACGCUGGCGGCAGGCUUAACACAUGCAAGUCGAACGAACGUAGCAAUACGUUAGUGGCGCACGGGUGAGUAACGCGUGGAUAUCUGCCUUUUGGUUCGGGAUAACCUUGGGAAACUAGGGCUAAUACCGAAUGGUUCCUACGGGAUAAAGAUUUAUCGCCAAAAGAUGAGUCCGCGUCCGAUUAGCUAGUUGGUGAGGUAAUGGCUCACCAAGGCGACGAUCGGUAGCUGGUCUGAGAGGACGAUCAGCCACACUGGGACUGAGACACGGCCCAGACUCCUACGGGAGGCAGCAGUGGGGAAUAUUGGACAAUGGGGGCAACCCUGAUCCAGCCAUGCCGCGUGAGUGAUGAAGGCCUUCGGGUUGUAAAGCUCUUUUGGCGGGGACGAUGAUGACGGUACCCGCAGAAUAAGCCCCGGCUAACUUCGUGCCAGCAGCCGCGGUAAGACGAAGGGGGCUAGCGUUGUUCGGAAUUACUGGGCGCAAAGCGAGUGUAGGUGGUUGUCGUAGUCAGGCGUGAAAGCCUUGAGCUCAACUCAAGAAAUGCGCUUGAUACUGGGCAGCUAGAGGACCGGAGAGGAUAGUGGAAUUCCCAGUGUAGUGGUGAAAUACGUAGAUAUCGGGAGGAAUACCGGUGGCGAAGGCGACUUUCUGGACCAAUACUGACGCUGAGGCGCGAAAGCGUGGGUAGCAAACAGGAUUAGAUACCCUGGUAGUCCAAGGGCGAAUCGUAGGGCU
rnacentral:rRNA from 1 species